rnacentral:snRNA from 1 species
GUAUUUCUUUGGUGAUCUGGCUACAACAGCUAUCACCCCUAUUGAUCUCCAAGAUGGACUCAGCUGAUCUGACUGGCUAGGCGGGUAUCCCCUUUCUCCCUUACCACUCCACGUGUGUCCUUUCCAAAGCUUUGUGCUCAAAGAGGAUGACUUUCCCUGAUAGAAGGUAUAGGUAUACGAGUAACUGUGCUUCCCUGCUAGAACCUCCAUUUGAGCUCUCAAGGUCCAUUUGUAGGAGAAGUAGGUUAGUCAAGCUUCCGAGGCUCCAGACAUCCAAAUGAGGCACUGCAUGUGACAGUCUGCCUUAAAAU